UGGAGAAUCUUGCACAAUGGGCGAAAGCCUGAUGCAGCCACGCCGCGUGCGGGAAGAAGGCCUUCGGGUCGUAAACCGCUUUCAGGGGGGAAGAAGCGAUAUGUGACGGUACCUCCAGAAGAAGGACCGGCCAACUACGUGCCAGCAGCCGCGGUAAUACGUAGGGUCCGAGCGUUGUCCGGAAUCAUUGGGCGUAAAGCGCAUGUAGGCGGUCGCGUAAGUCGGAUGUGAAAUCCCGAGGCUUAACUUCGGAACUGCAUCCGGUACUGCGUGGCUUGAGGAAGGUAGAGGAGAGUGGAAUUCCCGGUGUAGCGGUGGAAUGCGCAGAUAUCGGGAGGAACACCAGCGGCGAAGGCGGCUCUCUGGGCCUUUCCUGACGCUGAGAUGCGAAAGCGUGGGUAGCGAACAGGAUUAGAUACCCUGGUAGUCCACGCCGUAAACGAUGGGUGCUAGGUGUGGGGAAUGGUUCACGUUUUCCGUGCCGAAGCUAACGCGUUAAGCACCCCGCCUGGGGACUACGGCCGCAAGGCUA
rnacentral:rRNA from 1 species